UGAUAGACCAAGCAAAUCAAAACACAUUAAGAUGGUAGGUAAUUUGAGUAAUACAUUUAGCAAGUCUGAAAAAAUGGGCAUGUAUAGAAUCUGCAGGCUCAACUCAAGCGCGCAGUGAGUAUUUUUUUUUUUUAAAGCCCUCCCGCCGCUGGUUUUAACGUCAGCCUCAGAAGUGAAGAACAGGGUCUUUUGUUACUGAUUUAUAUUCGCGGUGGCCCGUAGGGGGCGCCCGUGAGGGUGAGCCCCUCCAACCCGGCCCUGCCGAGCAGCAGGCGCGGUAGAAAGGCAGAGUCUGACGCGGCCGGUAAAGGAAAGGAAACCGGCCGGGAUCACACCCAGAGCGCAGAGCUGGAGCGGGGAGGCCGGCCGGGCCGGCUGGCAGUCAGACUGCGAAGACAGACUGCAGACCUGAGGAGGAAACUGUUGAUCUAAAACCACAAUUAGUUGCUGGUAAGACAGAGGCUGCAUCCACACCUUUGGAAUGCAGAUUUCAAAAAAUGCAUAGAAGAAAAUGAGGCCUAGGAAAAAAACUACUUGAAAUUUGGGAUCCAACUGCUUUCCCUCCAAAUUGAAUUAAAUAGUCAUCUCUUUGUAUACCAAACACCCUGAACUUAACUUCUUUCUUUGUGUAUGGCAUUGAAAUGUUUAGGCUUUUUUAGAUCUUAAAAU
rnacentral:lncRNA from 1 species